rnacentral:lncRNA from 1 species
AACGCAGGCUUCUGACAGCUUUGGAGAUUGUGACAUUGGAAUAAAGGAAAAACGUACAGGACUCAUGAAGCGCUGAAAUGUUCACAAAUAUCAAGCAAAAGUCAAUGAAAUUUAUUUUGAGCUAUUUACAUCAUUUAAUAAUUGAGCAAGGUAUACUCCUAUGAACAAAAUUUGGAGCAUGUUUGUCUCUCUCUGCCUGGCGUCUUCAGAAUUUGGAAACUAGUUGUGCUGUACUGCAUGAGAAUGCCUGCAUUUAGUAUGCGAACUGGAAUUGGCAAAGGACGAUGGCUGCUCUCCCGCUAACUUUAAAUAAGUCAUGUCACAAAUUGCAUUCGUUCCCAGAUUUCCUAAACUUUCCAGAGAAAAUGGUCUUCUCCCUGGCUCAGCAAGAAGAUGAACUUUAAACACUGAGAAACUGGUCAUCUCCCUGGCUCAACCAGAAGAUGAACUUUAAACACUACUCUCAAUGACUUGAUGUUCCCAUCACUACUCCUGUCAUAAAGGGAGGGGACUCAGAUAUUGAGAAUUUUAUGAUAGUGUGAACUGUCUGGUAUGUCAUUUAAGUAAGCCCGUUGCUGAAAUAUUUUCCAUGUUAUUAGAAAGAGCUGAAGAGAGGGAUUGAGAUGGCUUCUUUAUUUUUUGUCUUUUGGGAAUUAAAGGAACCUGGUUCAACAAGGGCCUACACCUAAGUCUCUUGUUGUACCAGAGUACAAUUUAGGACUGCUCCUGAGGAAGGAAUUAGCUAGAAAUCUAGAGAGUAAGGGUAACAGAUUUACAUAGAAUAACAGCCUCAGUAUUUUUGGUUCCUCUCCAGUAAAGAUCACAAAGAAUAUUGCUAAAUCGCUAAAACACCUUUGCAAUAACGUAAGGGCUUACAACUAUAUACCAAUGUAGCUCAGUUACUAAACUGGAGUAAACUAAUUUCUCUUGUGUAGAAAAAUUGGUUGGCUGUGGUUUUAUAGCAGAUCUGCAAUUAUUAAUAGUUAUGCCAAUAAUCGUUUAACAGUGCAUAUGUUAAUAUAUAUGGAAAGACAAUGUGUAUAGACAGAUGUGUAAAAUUGAAAAAUAAACAUAUAACAAGAGAGAAACAUCUAUCGAACAGACAAUAUACAUACACAUCAAACACAACAGCAGUUUUAGUGACCAUAAUAUUUAUUUCUCAUUUUUACAUUGCUUACUUUAGUGACAACUGAAAAUGACAGUUGGCAAUGCAGCUAACAGUUUCAAUAAAAGUAUAAAACAAAAGACUGUGUACAAAGCACCUGUCUUUCCGCUUUUGUAAUCUUCCGUUGGAAAAAAUUUACACACCUAAGUAACCAUCUGUUUUCUUCAAGAAAAAAUCAUUCUUAUUUCUCUCUCUCAUCUUGAAAACAGCUGUCAGCCAGGAGGGCAGAGCUGAAAUUUAUUGCCACAUCACAUGAAGCAUAGAACAGACUCCACUACUCCUUGAGAUUCAAAACUUUGCCUCUCACAAAGUUACCUUUUAUUUUCCUCUUGUUUGUCACUCAUCUC